GUGUCAGCAGCCGCGGUAAGACGUAGGGGGCGAGCGUUGUCCGGAUUUAUUGGGCGUAAAGAGCGCGUAGGCGGCCUGGUAAGUCCGCUGUGAAAGUCCAGGGCUCAACCCUGGAAUGCCGGUGGAAACUGUCAGGCUCGAGUCCGGAAGAGGCGAGUGGAAUUCCUGGUGUAGCGGUGAAAUGCGCAGAUAUCAGGAGGAACACCGGUGGCGAAGGCGCUGCUCUGGGCCGGUACUGACGCUGAGGAGCGAAAGCGUGGGUAGCAAACAGGAUUAGAUACCCUGGUAGUCCACGCCGUAAACGUUGGGCACUAGGUGUGGGGCCUUAUCAACGGGUUCCGUGCCGUAGCUAACGCAUUAAGUGCCCCGCCUGGGGAGUACGGCCGCAAGGCUAAAACUCAAAGGAAUUGACGG
rnacentral:rRNA from 1 species